rnacentral:sRNA from 1 species
CGCAAGCUGACGAGCAAUACCGCGUGAGGGAGAAGGCUCUUGGGUCGUAAACCUCUUUUAUCAGGGAAGAACACAAUGACGGUACCUGAUGAAUCAGCAUCGGCUAACUCUGUGCCAGCAGCCGCGGUAAUACAGAGGAUGCAAGCGUUAUCCGGAAUUAUUGGGCGUAAAGCGUCCGCAGGUGGUUUUGAAAGUUUGCUGUCAAAGCGCGAGGCUCAACUUCGUAUCGGCGGUGAAAACUUCAAGACUAGAGUUUGGUAGGGGUCACGGGAAUUCCCAGUGUAGCGGUGAAAUGCGUAGAUAUUGGGAAGAACACCAGCGGCGAAAGCGCGUGACUGGGCCUGAACUGACACUCAUGGACGAAAGCUAGGGGAGCGAAAGGGAUUAGAUACCCCUGUAGUCCUAGCCGUAAACGAUGACAACUAGGUGUUGCCCGUAUCGACCCGGGCAGUGCCGUAGCCAACGCGUUAAGUUGUCCGCCUGGGGAGUACGCACGCAAGUGUGAAACUCAAAGGAAUUGACGGGGGCCCGCACAAGCGGUGGAGUAUGUGGUUUAAUUCGAUGCAACGCGAAGAACCUUACCAAGGCUUGACAUGUGCAGAAUCCUCUUGAAAGGGAGGAGUGCCUUCGGGAGCUGCAACACAGGUGGUGCAUGGCUGUCGUCAGCUCGUGUCGUGAGAUGUUGGGUUAAGUCCCGCAACGAGCGCAACCCUCGUUUCUAGUUGCCAUCAUUCAGUUGGGCACUUUAGAGAGACUGCCGGUGACAAACCGGAGGAAGGUGGGGAUGACGUCAAGUCAGCAUGCCCCUUACGCCUUGGGCUACACACGUACUACAAUGCUACGGACAAAGAGCCGCAAGUUCGCGAGGACAAGCAAAUCUCAUAAACCGUGGCUCAGUUCAGAUUGCAGGCUGCAACUCGCCUGCAUGAAGGCGGAAUCGCUAGUAAUCGCAGGUCAGCAUACUGCGGUGAAUACGUUCCCGGGCCUUGUACACACCGCCCGUCACACCAUGGGAGUUGGCCACGCCCGAAGUCGUUACUCCAACCGUUCGCGGAGGAGGAUGCCGAAGGCAGGGCUGAUGACUGGGGUGAAGUCGUAACAAGGUAGCCGUACCGGAAGGUGUGGCUGGAUCACCUCCUUAUAGGGAGACCUACCCGUUUCGACUUGAACGCUCAAUUCCUAAUUCAACCUUGGUUGAGUGAGGGAGAAAGCUAUUAGAGCAGAGACCGGUCAUCCCAAGGUCGUUCGAGGAUUGAGUGUUGACUUCUAGACUAUGUAAGAUUGGUUCGGGUUAUGGGCUAUUAGCUCAGGUGGUUAGAGCGCACCCCUGAUAAGGGUGAGGUCCCUGGUUCGAGUCCAGGAUGGCCCACCUUUUGAAACGAGGGGGUUUAGCUCAGUUGGUAGAGCGCCUGCUUUGCAAGCAGGAUGUCAACGGUUCGAGUCCGUUAACCUCCACUGAAAGCUGAGAGCUUUCCACCCCGAAUCGACUUCAAUUUCAGCAACUUAUCUGAUGAGUUACAUUCGUACUUUAUGUCUUUCUUGUACAUUGAGUAUUGAUUGUAUAACUGACAUUAGAGAGCCUGCUGGACUUGUUCCAGACAGAACCAUGAAAACUGCAUAGAAACUUGUCAGGUAGAAAGUAGUAAAUCUUUCACUAGUUGCUCACAAGGUAACGRGUGAGGGAUUUCCACAAAUAUCACAGACACCAAUG